UUUAAAAUGCCUGUAAUCGCCCAGAAAUAGUAUAAAUUUGAAUGAUGCAUUGUUUUAUUAAGUAAUAAGCCUUCCCGUAAAUGACGUUCACGAAAAUAACUUAGAUUUUUGAACAAGCGUUCCCAGAAUGACGUUUAAUUGAUGUACACUACUAAUAAAUGAAACUUAUUGUUAACAUUAUUUGAAGCUCUAAAAUUAAAGUUACUUGAAAAGUUCAGAAAGCCCUCAGAAGUAGUUUUUUUCAGAAAAUUCAUUGAGCAACAGCUUGUCAUGACAGUAGGGCUUGGUUGUCCAGAACUAUGAUGCUUUUAAUCUCAAGGUGCCAUAAGUUAACAAAAUCUUUAUUUGAAAGCCUAAUGAAGAAAGUCUAAAAUAUCUUUAAAAUGUAGUGUAGCCGGAAUCUUUUUGGGCCAAUGACUAAAAUCAAUUUUCAGAUCAAAUUCCUGUUCUUCUUUAAGAACCUAUUUCUAGACAUUUGCUCAAGUGAACUAACUUAAAGCAAAAUAACAAAUCAUUUAUCAACUCUAAAUGAUUCAUCCACUUUAACUUAUUGCGUCAAUUCUCACAUAUUACAAGUCCCCGUGCGUAUAGUCACCAUAAAUGCCAAUUAAUCUUGUACCUAAUUUCUCAUGCUACCGCCUAAUUUAUCCUCAAACAACACCAACUCCAUCAUCUAGUUUUUGCCUAACUUCUUCAAUUAAUUUACAUUUCAAUAGUUUCAUGCCGCACAAAGUAAUUUAUUUCAAACG